UUGGCUUUUUAUCACUUUUCUCUCCCCGAUCCAAAGUUUUUUGUUUCUUCCCAACUCCCAAAUCAUGGUGGCUUUGAGAGUGACGGCCUCCCUCCCGUCGAUUGCAUUUGCUAAUAGCCUCGUCCGUUGCAGGCCGGCCCAGCGUCCUCCCUUCGCCGCCUUUGCCAGUUUCUCCAGUGGCGGAGCCACUUGCGGGCAAGCUUCUCCUCUACAGCGGCAGCUUGUGCUUUACACGAAGCCCGGAUGCUGUCUCUGCGAAGGCCUCAAAGAGAAGCUUCAGGCCGCGCUCUCCCUUGGUGGCUCGCACACUCUCCACUCCGUCGAACUCCAGGUAAGGGAUAUUUCUGGGAACGCUGAAUGGGAGAGGCUGUACCAGUACGAGAUUCCUGUCCUUGCCAAAAUACUCCCUGAUGGUAGAGAGGAAACACUUCCUAGAUUGUCCCCUCGCCUUGGAGUUGAGCUCAUACAAAAGAAAAUUACUGCCGCAUUAGAACAAUAGGUUCAUUUUGCAGGCGAUAUUGCUUUAAUUUAUAGAUUUAAGGAACAAGAUGGAAUAUGUUAUUAUCUGCCCCAACUGAAUGGUCUUUGCUUUUCAUCACAAGGUUUCUAGUGCUUCACCAGAUAAGUUUAUUCCAGGUAUUAGUUCUUAACCAUGCUGCGGAAUCUGAAAUUACUUGAUGUAAUCUAGUGGGCUCAAUACAAAAUAAUUUGAAAGUCUAUAUCUUCAUUAACCCAGCAGGGAUUUAUCAGAACUCAAACACCUUCCAUUCAAAAUUUGAUUAAUAUGUAGUGGCAUAUGUGGCUGUUCAGCGGUCUAUCAAAAGAAGAUCAUAGAUUGCAAAUUUGAUUAGGAACACUCUCUCUUUUAACGGUAUGAUGAUGAUGACAUAAUAAAAUAG